UUACAGGGCAAGUCUCUUUGUAAAGACGGGGACAAUGGUGAUCACUUGAGAGGAUUGCGUCUAAACAGUUGGACAUAAGAGGUAUACAAUGGAGCUACCUGGCCAACCAUGCAUGCACGACUCAAAGGGAUAUUAAAAAAGAGGAAUUAAGCAUGGAGUUGUUACUGAUUGAAGGAUGACUUCUCUGUUUUCUUUAAUCGCUCUACUUAAAAUUCUUGGACUAUAUACAUGUACACAGUGGGAUCGUUGUUGUUGACAUGGUCUUGACUUGUGUUCUGAGGCCCUGAAGAGAAGGAAUUAUUUGUGUACAUUUAUUUAACUUACUAUGGGAAAGACUAACAAGCAUGGUGAAGACAUAAUCAAGAAAUCAAUUUCUGCAGCCUUUGUGCCUAUUUUUCUGUGAACCCAGGAUACAUAAUACGUGCGAGCCGCUUUCCUUCAACCAGGAGGUUCCAGCUAAUACGGUCUUUAAUGAUUACACCAGUGUUGAGGAAUACGAGGUAUAAAAGAAAACUCACGCCCUGCCAGUUGCAGCAGACUGGAAUAAAGGAUUUAGCCCGGCCAGAACUCGACGGACCGACCCCCGGCUACCACCACUAGCGCUGGCUGGACUUCUGAAAGAAACCAGCAUGGGUCGCAAGAAGAUUCAGAUUUCAAGAAUCAACGAUGAGAGGAAUAGACAGGUAACAUUCACAAAACGCAAAUUUGGUCUGAUGAAGAAGGCCUAUGAACUGAGCGUCCUGUGCGAUUGUGAAAUAGCCCUGAUUAUAUUUAACAGUGGGAACAAGCUCUUCCAGUAUGCCAGUACAGACAUGGAUAAGGUGCUACUCAAGUACACAGAGUACAGUGAGCCUCAUGAAAGCAGGACCAACUCAGAUAUCAUUGAGGUAAGUGAUAAAUAAAAUCUUGGAAAAAACAAACAAACAAACAAACAAUCAUGUUUACUCAUGGCAGUGCAAGCAUCUGAAAAACCCCUAUUCAUUUUAAGCAAUAUGACAUACCAUUCUUUGCAUGACAUUUUGAGAUUUGUAUUCAGAUUACAGUGAGUAAAGCUCCUUUUUUAGUUUUUAUUUGAGGAUAGACCAAUAAUUUGGCAUUUUAGAACAAAUUUUGGUGGUUUGCAUCUUGUGUGAAAGUGGUAUGAUAAGGGAUAAUAAUAGAUAGGGUUUAUAUGGAUUGGAUUUAUGAAAAAAACUAUGUUCAAAGUCCUGGUAUAAUCCAGAAGUUUCAACUUAGUGACGCAUGUGUGUCAGAAAGUCUUGUUAUACUAAACAAGUGCUCAAUUUCUAUAACAUGUUCACCAUCGGCCAAUCAAAUCAGAUGAUAUCAGUUGUUUAAACGUAUUAAACUGAACAUUUGUCAUUAUUACAAGUGUUAUGAAACGUUAUGAAACGUAUCUGGGCCCGCCCAGAUCUGAUUUUUAGUUGAGCCAAGAUUUAGUUAUCCACGCAGUAUACCAGCACUGUCUUGGCAAUGCCAUAUUACUAUUACACUGUCCCCUGCACGUUGCUAUACACGAGGCCUUUUUUCAGUUGCUUCAGUUCACCAUUAUGCAAAUCCAAAGAGGAAAACAAUGUCUUCUAUGAUAUGGUAUCGCAACAUGUUAUUGGUAUUGUGCAUGAUUAGAAGAAUUCACCUCGUUCCUCUCCAGAUAAACACCUGCUAAGUACGUGAGAUGGGAUGGUUUGCGUCACCCCCCGAUUGAGAUAAGAAUUUGUAUCGUCCACAUGGUAGCUUGCCUACAUGUAUAUGCAAACAGUAUUUGCUACGGCAUCUUGCAUGCUACUGUCUGAUGUGGACACAAGAUGAAAGAUGGCUAAUUCUGAUAUGGGAAUCGGAGAAGAUUAGGUGUUGCACGUGUUGGCAUUCCUGGGUUCUGCUCUUAAGGUUACUUUAGAUUUGGUUUCUUGUAGAAAAGACGCCAAAGAUUAUAAACAUUUCUAGAAUGCAAUGCAUGCGAAGCAGAUAACAAAAUGUAUCUACCUGUACAUUGGCUUUGCAUUAUGAAAAUGAGCUACUUCUGACCCUUAACUAAUAUCUAUAUAAUCCAAGAAUAAUCUUAGAUUUUGACUUGACUGCAAUUUCUUUUGGAAAUUAAACAUAUCAGGAUCUAUGAUUUUCAAGCAGCAGAAAGAACUUCAAGACUUAAAUCCUUGUUUUUGAAUAAAAUAUAUAAGUAAAAAUAGAGGCCACAACAAAGAGCAUCUGUUUACACUUUAAUACCCAACCAUCUCUUUAAAAAAUGGAGGCCUAUCAAGUCAUUUAUCUAUUGAGACGCGUGCAUGGACGAUCUGGACAAGUGCAGUGGCAAAGGUGCUCAUUAGAUUGCUGUGGAAACCACACGGCUUGAUCAUUAGACGGCAUCAUUAGGCAUCCAAACCACAUUCUGAUCUCACGUCAGCAGUUUACGGGCACCGCUCUCAGAUGAGCGGGAGAUUAAAUCCGAUGGGAAUGGAGCCGUGGACCUGUUCUUCAACACUCCAUUGGUGUUUGAAGAAUGGUUGGAAUACCAAAUCUCUCUACCAAUCUGCCAGGAAUGAUGAUGGGUCCAUGCUAUGCAUAUAUUCACAAGUUGCUCUGACGUAAUGUUCUCACCUACAAGGCAGCGAUGGGCUUUUUCUUUCUUUAACUAUUUCACCCACCUAAACCCACACAUAUAAUACAAACAUGUUCCACAUGAACCCCAGAGAGUAAUUUGUCUGUUGGCCACAACUUAAAUAAUUGCCUUUCAAAAGGGUGACCUUUUAUUGUUGUUAAUUGCAUACGUAUGACAUGAGAAAUGAUUUCAUUAUAUCUCUGGAUAUGCUCUUUUGUUGUAGAGUCUUGAAAAUACCUUAAAAGGAAAAAGAAAGUCUUUUUCUGACUCUUUUUUUUUUUUUACUGAUUUUUAUAACACAUACCUUCUGUGUUGAAACCUACCUGAAUAUACAGUAUUUACUCGGCAAUAUUAUUUUUGGUUUUGUAAUAGAGCUAUACUUAAAAAUUUGGAUCUUCUAAAAGCCUUCAAAUCAUGGUUAUAAUAUAAUGGGCAUUUGAUAAUUCAUAUUUUUUAUUAUAUAAUUAGUUAAGAGACUAGAUUGGUCAACCCCAGAAAUUACAAGCAGAUGUUGAAACAAACCACAAUUGUUCAAUUGUCUGAAAUAAAAAGAUAAUUCCCUUGUAGAAUGGUAGACAAACAAAAUAAUAGAGAUGUGGUCAAGAAUAUUACCCAAGUCAAACAUAUCUUCCCCCAGCCCCUAUAUGGGGGGGGGGGAAGAGUUUAGGAGGGGGCAGGCCAUUUACACAAGUGUUUAAUGUUACCCCCACCCUGCUUUACAUCUUUCUGUAAUGUAGAACAAUGAAAAGAGAGUGUAUGUCGGUGAUUGCGUAGCUUGUGUCAAUGUUUGAAGAGGGGUCAUGUGACUCCGGGGCGCAAAUCUAGAUGAGCCCCCUCCUUUGUAACCAUGCAGUGAGAGUGAGUCAGAGUGGUACAGUCUCUCUGCACAGGAAGCGUGUGAUCGGCCUGCCAGUAGCUGGCAAAAGCUCUCAGGAGGCAACCCCACUAGGGGGAAAACAACGGCAGAUCAUACCCUACACCGUGUACCUACAGAUGCAUACAGGCCUCUGUCAUACAAUUUUAGGGCCUUCGAUUGCAUGCUCGAUCAUCAACGCCAAUUUUCACUUCUACCCCUCUUUAUCCAUUCCUCUCUUGGUAUCUCUCAAAAAGCUUGGAUAAAAAGAAUUGUUACGUUUUCCUUGCUGUAUUGAAUUAUGAUGAUGGUAUAUUAAAAAUUAUAGUCGAUACAAAAUGUUAAGUACUGAUUGCUACCUGCAAAAAUCUACACACUUUAUCAUUCUGUGCUUGUAUUGAAGUAUGCAUUUCAUUUCCUGUUGGCUCAUAGCAAUUCGUCGUUGAUGAAUUUCACCAUCCCCCCGUUGGGCAACAAAUUUUGUCAUGCAGUGCAUAGAUGGUAAUGAUGGCAAAGACUAGUUUAAAGUUAAGUUACCUGGAGGCAUUUUUCAUUUUUCAUUAACAGGAUCUUGUCCAACAUUGAAUGUAAAUUCUGCUUGUACAAGUGCACAAAUCGUAUAUAUCUGUAAAAAAAUCAAUGAAU